rnacentral:tRNA from 1 species
GGGUCUGUAGGUAAGUGGUAUACCAGCGGUCUCCAAAACCGCAGUCGGAGGUCCGAUUCCUUCCAGACCCGCCA